CCUACGGGUGGCUGUAGUGGGGAAUAUUGGACAAUGGGGGCAACCCUGAUGCAGCGACGCCGCGUGAGUGAAGAAGGCUUUCGGUAUGUAAAGCUCUAUUAGCAGGGAAGAAAAUGAAGGUACGUGAUUCAGAAGACACGGCUAAUUACGUGACAGCAGCCGCGGUAAUACGUCGGGGGCAAGCGUUAUCCGGAUUUACUGGGUGUAAAGGGAGCGUAGACGGCAGCACAAGUCUGGAGUGAAAUUCCGGGGCUUAACCCCGGAACUGCUGUGGAAACUGUGCAGCUAGAGUGCAGGUGAGGUAAGUGGAAUUCGUAGUGUAGCGGUGAAAUGCGUAGAUAUUAGGAGGAACACCAGUGGCGAAGGCGGCUUACUGGACUGUAACUGACGUUGAGGCUCGAAAGCGUGGGGAGCAAACAGGAUUAGAUACCCGGGUAGUC
rnacentral:rRNA from 1 species